GAUGAACGCUGGCGGCGUGCCUAAUACAUGCAAGUCGAGCGAACGGACGAGAAGCUUGCUUCUCUGAUGUUAGCGGCGGACGGGUGAGUAACACGUGGAUAACCUACCUAUAAGACUGGGAUAACCUCGGGAAACCGGAGCUAAUACCGGAUGAUAUUUUGAACCGCAUGGUUCAAAAGUGAAAGACGUUCUUGCUUUCACUUAUAGAUGGAUCCGCGCUGCAUUAGCUAGUUGGUAAGGUAACGGCUUACCAAGGCAACGAUGCAUAGCCGACCUGAGAGGGUGAUCGGCCACACUGGAACUGAGACACGGUCCAGACUCCUACGGGAGGCAGCAGUAGGGAAUCUUGCGCAAUGGGCGAAAGCCUGACGGAGCAACGCCGCGUGAGUGAUGAAGGUCUUCGGAUCGUAAAACUCUGUUAUUAGGGAAGAACAUAUGUGUAAGUAACUGUGCACAUAUUGACGGUACCUAAUCAGAAAGCCACGGCUAACUACGUG
rnacentral:rRNA from 1 species